rnacentral:rRNA from 1 species
AACCUUACCUGGUCUUGACAUCCACAGAACUUUCCAGAGAUGGAUUGGUGCCUUCGGGAACUGUGAGACAGGUGCUGCAUGGCUGUCGUCAGCUCGUGUUGUGAAAUGUUGGGUUAAGUCCCGCAACGAGCGCAACCCUUAUCCUUUGUUGCCAGCGGUUCGGCCGGGAACUCAAAGGAGACUGCCAGUGAUAAACUGGAGGAAGGUGGGGAUGACGUCAAGUCAUCAUGGCCCUUACGACCAGGGCUACACACGUGCUACAAUGGCAUAUACAAAGAGAAGCGACCUCGCGAGAGCAAGCGGACCUCAUAAAGUAUGUCGU